rnacentral:rRNA from 1 species
CCUACGGGAGGCAGCAGUGGGGAAUAUUGCACAAUGGGCGAAAGCCUGAUGCAGCAACGCCGCGUGAAGGAAGAAGGUUUUCGGCUCGUAAACUUCUAUCAACAGGGACGAAAAAAAUGACGGUACCUGAAUAAGAAGCCCCGGCUAACUACGUGCCAGCAGCCGCGGUAAUACGUAGGGGGCAAGCGUUAUCCGGAAGUACUGGGUGUAAAGGGCGAGUAGGCGGCAUGGUAAGCCAGAUGUGAAAGCCUUGGGCUUAACCCGAGGAUUGCAUUUGGAACUAUCAAGCUAGAGUAUAGGAGAGGAAAGCGGAAUUCCUAGUGUAGCGGUGAAAUGCGUAGAUAUUAAGAAGAACACGAGUGGCGAAGGCGAGUUGCUAGACUGUAACUGACACUGAGGCACGAAAGCGUGGGGAGCAAACAGGAUUAGAUACCCCUGUAGUC